rnacentral:rRNA from 1 species
AUUGAACGCUGGCGGAAUGCUUUACACAUGCAAGUCGAACGGUAGAGGGGGCAACCCCUCGAGAGUGGCGAACGGGUGAGUAAUAUAUCGGAACGUGCCCAGUCGUGGGGGAUAGCGUAGCGAAAGUUACGCUAAUACCGCAUACGAUCUACGGAUGAAAGCGGGGGACUCGCAAGAGCCUCGCGCGAUUGGAGCGGCCGAUAUCAGAUUAGGUAGUUGGUGGGGUAAAGGCUCACCAAGCCAACGAUCUGUAGCUGGUCUGAGAGGACGACCAGCCACACUGGAACUGAGACACGGUCCAGACUCCUACGGGAGGCAGCAGUGGGGAAUUUUGGACAAUGGACGCAAGUCUGAUCCAGCAAUGCCGCGUGCAGGAAGAAGGCCUCGG